rnacentral:tRNA from 2 species
GCCCUCGUCGUUCAACGGAUAGGACAUAAGAUUGCGGAUCUUAAAAUAGAGGUUCGAUUCCUCUCGAGGGCA